rnacentral:lncRNA from 1 species
ACUUAUCAUAAGCCCAUGGAUUCAUAAUAAUCUGUUUCUUUUUGCCCUUCUCCCUCCUUUUUAGAACUUUGUAGACAGGACCUGGAACAGAAGAGGUGCUUUAUAAAGGUCUUCUGAGUGUAUAAAUAAAUGGAUGGCUGAAUGCUGUUUUGAGCGUUAAGGGCCUUAGCUGACAGCACCCAGAAUACUCUACUGGCUAUUUCUGAGAGCACUAAGGAGAAAGAAGCAGCUCACACACGUGCAAGGACAAGUUCACUCAUGCUUGCUUUAGACCUGACCAAACUACUUGCUGGGCAUCUGGGAGAAUUGCGGCCUGUCUGCCAGUGCUGUGUGCUGCAUUCCCUCCUGCUGUUUCACUGGGCCCAGACCUUCUCCCCUGGAAGACUUCCUGAGUCCUCAGGGCAUCUUGGCUGCACUGAGACCUAUGCGAAGUAUUGGUGGUGGUUCUGGCCACAGUUCUUCCUCCCUUCAUCUUAACUGAAACAAAUAAGCAAUCAAUCAAAUAAAUUUCUGUGCCGCAGGAAGAACAGAUACUGCAGCUCUCCUCCACUGGCAUCAUCUCUCCUCUAGUGCUCUUUGGAAAAAACAAACCGACAAAGCUUUUUUCCUUUUACCAAA